AGAGUUUGAUCCUGGCUCAGGAUGAACGCUAGCGGCAGGCUUAACACAUGCAAGUCGAGGGGUAACAUUGUAGCUUGCUACAGAUGACGACCGGCGCACGGGUGCGUAACGCGUAUAGAACCUACCUUUUACAGAGGGAUAGCCUUUAGAAAUGAAGAUUAAUACCUUAUAGUAUUGAGACUUGGCAUCAAGUUUUAAUUAAAGAUUUAUCGGUAAAAGAUGGCUAUGCGUCCUAUUAGUUAGUUGGUAAGGUAACGGCUUACCAAGACAUCGAUAGGUAGGGGUCCUGAGAGGGAGAUCCCCCACACUGGUACUGAGACACGGACCAGACUCCUACGG
rnacentral:rRNA from 1 species